GACGAACGCUGGCGGCGUGCUUAACACAUGCAAGUCGAACGGAAAGGCCCCUUUGGGGGUACUCGAGUGGCGAACGGGUGAGUAACACGUGAGUAUCCUGCCCUUGACUUCGGGAUAACUUCAGGAAACUGGGGCUAAUACCGGAUAGGAAUCCUUGCUGCAUGGUGGGGGUUGGAAAGCUUCGGCGGUUUUGGAUGGACUCGCGGCUUAUCAGCUUGUUGGUGGGGUAGUGGCUUACCAAGGCUUUGACGGGUAGCCGGCCUGAGAGGGCGACCGGCCACAUUGGGACUGAGAUACGGCCCAGACUCCUACGGGAGGCAGCAGUGGGGAAUAUUGCACAAUGGGCGGAAGCCUGAUGCAGCAACGCCGCGUGCGGGAUGACGGCCUUCGGGUUGUAAACCGCUUUCAGCAGGGGCGAAGCUUGUGGUGACGGUACCUGCAGAAGAAGCACCGGCUAACUACGUG
rnacentral:rRNA from 1 species